rnacentral:piRNA from 1 species
GAGAACAUAUUUUCACUGAGCUCAUGCAGA